rnacentral:rRNA from 1 species
GAGUUUGAUCUUGGCUCAGAUUGAACGCUGGCGGCAGGCCUAACACAUGCAAGUCGAGCGGAUGACGGGAGCUUGCUCCUUGAUUCAGCGGCGGACGGGUGAGUAAUGCCUAGGAAUCUGCCAGGUAGUGGGGGACAACGUUUCGAAAGGAACGCUAAUACCGCAUACGUCCUACGGGAGAAAGCAGGGGACCUUCGGGCCUUGCGCUAUCAGAUGAGCCUAGGUCGGAUUAGCUAGUUGGUGGGGUAAUGGCUCACCAAGGCGACGAUCCGUAACUGGUCUGAGAGGAUGAUCAGUCACACUGGAACUGAGACACGGUCCAGACUCCUACGGGAGGCAGCAGUGGGGAAUAUUGGACAAUGGGCGAAAGCCUGAUCCAGCCAUGCCGCGUGUGUGAAGAAGGUCUUCGGAUUGUAAAGCACUUUAAGUUGGGAGGAAGGGCAGUAAGUUAAUACCUUGCUGUUUUGACGUUACCGACAGAAUAAGCACCGGCUAACUCUGUGCCAGCAGCCG